CGCCAGACUCCUACGGGAGGCAGCAGUGGGGAAUAUUGCACAAUGGGGGAAACCCUGAUGCAGCGACGCCGCGUGAGUGAAGAAGUAUUUCGGUAUGUAAAGCUCUAUCAGCAGGGAAGAAAAUGACGGUACCUGACUAAGAAGCCCCGGCUAACUACGUGCCAGCAGCCGCGGUAAUACGUAGGGGGCAAGCGUUAUCCGGAUUUACUGGGUGUAAAGGGAGCGUAGACGGCAUGGCAAGUCAGAUGUGAAAGCCCGGGGCUCAACCCCGGGACUGCAUUUGAAACUGUCAGGCUGGAGUGCAGGAGAGGUAAGUGGAAUUCCUAGUGUAGCGGUGAAAUGCGUAGAUAUUAGGAGGAACACCAGUGGCGAAGGCGGCUUACUGGACUGUAACUGACGUUGAGGCUCGAAAGCGUGGAGAGCAAACAGGAUUAGAUACCCGUGUA
rnacentral:rRNA from 1 species